UACGUAGGAGGCGAGCGUUGUCCGGAGUUACUGGGCGUAAAGGGUGCGCAGGCGGUGGUGCGCGUGGAUAGAUGAAAUCUCCUGGCUUACCUGGGAGGAUGGUAUCCAGACGGCAUCACUUGAGGGUCGGAGAGGGGCGUGGAAUUCCGGGUGGAGCGGUGAAAUGCGUAGAGAUCCGGAGGAACACCGACGGCGUAGGCAGCGCCCUGGACGACACCUGACGCUGAGGCACGAAAGCUGGGGGAGCAAACGGG
rnacentral:rRNA from 1 species